UACGGGGGGGGCAAGCGUUAUUCGGAAUUACUGGGCGUAAAGCGCACGUAGGCGGCUUUGUAAGUUAGAGGUGAAAGCCUGGAGCUCAACUCCAGAAUUGCCUUUAAGACUGCAUCGCUUGAAUCCAGGAGAGGUGAGUGGAAUUCCGAGUGUAGAGGUGAAAUUCGUAGAUAUUACGGAAAGAACACCAGUGGCGAAGGCGGCUCACUGGACUGGUAUUGACGCUGAGGUGCGAAAGCGUGGGGAGCAAACAGG
rnacentral:rRNA from 1 species